GUUCAGCUGACGAGUCCAGGAUGGGACGAAAUGUGCAUCCUGGAU
rfam:Trichobilharzia regenti genome assembly, scaffold: TRE_scaffold0012590